UGAGGAAUAUUGGUCAAUGGACGAGAGUCUGAACCAGCCAAAUCGCGUGAAGGAAGACUGCCCUACGGGUUGUAAACUUCUUUUGUACAGGAAUAAAAGACAUUACGUGUAAUGUAUUGCAUGUACUGUACGAAUAAGCAUCGGCUAACUCCGUGCCAGCAGGCGCGGUAAUACGGAGGAUGCGAGCGUUAUCCGGAUUUAUUGGGUUUAAAGGGUGCGCAGGCGGGAUUUUAAGUCAGCGGUGAAAUUUUCAGGCUCAACCUGAACACUGCCGUUGAAACUGGGACUCUUGAGUAUGGAUGAAGCAGGCGGAAUUCGUUGUGUAGCGGUGACAUGCUUAGAUAUAACGUGGAACUCCGAUUGCGUAGGCAGCUUACUAAGCCAUAACUGACGCUCAAGCACGAAAGCGUGGGGAUCAAAC
rnacentral:rRNA from 1 species